rnacentral:rRNA from 1 species
AGUGAACGCUGGCGGCGUGCCUAAUACAUGCAAGUCGAACGAAGUGGCGCACGGGUGAGUAAUAUAUAGAUAAUCUGCCCUACACAGAGGAACAACAGUUGGAAACGACUGCUAAUACAUCAUAGUGUAGGCAGAGACGAUAACGUAUCGGCGAGUUGGUAAGGUAAUGGCUUACCAAGGCUAUGAAGCGUAACUGGUCUGUGAGGAUGAUCAGUCACAUUGGAACUGAGACACGGGCCAAACGCCUACGGGAGGAAGCAGUAAGGAAUAUUGCGCAAUGGGGGAAUCCCUGACGCAGCAACGCCGCGUGGAGGAUGACACUUUUCGGAGCGUAAACUCCUUUUAUCAGGAAAGCGGUACCUGAUGAAUAAGCACCGGCUAACUACGUGCCAGCAGCCGCGGUAAUUC